rnacentral:lncRNA from 1 species
UUAUAAUGGUAUUAAUUAUAUCAUUACUAAUCAACCUUGGCCACCUUUUUAGCAACUUGGCAAUUAUUUCAUACACGUUUGUUUUGAUUUUAGACGCAAACUUUUUAAUAAUGCAACCGUUUGUCAAAGUUGGCAUGUUAAAAUUCUCUAUCAGCAAAAAUUUUCAAACUUGGCGUAAUAGGAUUUUCAUCCGAUGGAGUUUGUCAAAUGAGGCGUGCUAACCAUUCUCAUAUAAAUAGGUGCUUAGG